CUUUCACAUGUUAUGACUGUUCCCUUGUGAACCAACCACAUAACUGUACCAGUAAGGUCCAGUGUAAUAAACAUACGGAGGUUUGUGUAGCAGCAGAAACUCAUGUGUCUGGGUUUCACAGAGGAUACAAAUUGGGAUGUAUUGAAAAGCAGACAUGUAGCAAUCUGUUAUCAAGAGGUAUAGAUGGGACAUGUUGUAACACUAGUUUCUGUAAUGCAUUUUAUCUUCCAAAGCAGACCAUUACACAAGCAAAUAAUCUCGGACUACCUU